AUUGAACGCUGGCGGCAGGCCUAACACAUGCAAGUCGAGCGGAUGAAGGGAGCUUGCUCCUGGAUUCAGCGGCGGACGGGUGAGUAAUGCCUAGGAAUCUGCCUGGUAGUGGGGGAUAACGUCCGGAAACGGGCGCUAAUACCGCAUACGUCCUGAGGGAGAAAGUGGGGGAUCUUCGGACCUCACGCUAUCAGAUGAGCCUAGGUCGGAUUAGCUAGUUGGUGGGGUAAAGGCCUACCAAGGCGACGAUCCGUAACUGGUCUGAGAGGAUGAUCAGUCACACUGGAACUGAGACACGGUCCAGACUCCUGCGGUAGGCAGCAGUGGGGAAUAUUGGGCGAUGGGCGAAAGCCUGAUCCAGCCAUGCCGCGUGUGUCAAGAAGGUCUUCGGAUUGUAAAGCACUUUAAGUUGGGAGGUAGUGCAGUAAGUUAAUACCUUGCCGUUUUGACGUUACCAACAGAAUAAGCACCGGCUAACUUCGUG
rnacentral:rRNA from 1 species